AACGAACGCUGGUGGCACGUUUUAAGCAUGCAAGUCGAACGGCAGUGGGGGCAACCCCAUGAGAAUGGCGAACGGGUGAGUAACACGUAGGUGAUCUGCCUGACGGAUGGGGAUAGCUUGUGGAAACACAGGGUAAUACCGAAUGAGCUGACGAGACUUUGGUUUAGUUAGUAAAGGUGCUACGGCACCGCCGACAGAGGAGCCUGCGGCUGAUUAGCUAGUUGGUGGGGUAAAGGCCUACCAAGGCGACGAUCAGUAGCCGGCCUGAGAGGGUGUACGGCCACACUGGAACUGAGACACGGUCCAGACUCCUACGGGAGGCAGCAGCUAAGAAUCUUCCGCAAUGGGCGAAAGCCUGACGGGGCGAUGCCGCGUGAUCGAUGAAGGUCGAGAGAUUGUAAAGACCUUUUCUACAUGAGGAAUAAGUCUGGGAGGGAAUGCCUGGAUGAUGACGUUAGUGUAGGAAUAAGCCCCGGCUAAUUACGUGCCAGCCGCCGCCGUA
rnacentral:rRNA from 1 species